rnacentral:rRNA from 1 species
UGAAUACGAGACGCUAAGGCGUCGAAGUAGUGUAUGUCAUACUUCCAAGAAAAGCUUGCACUGUCAUAGAUAAAAAACGCCUGUACCAUAACCGACACAGGUGGGUAGGUAGAGUAUACUAAGGGGCGCGAGAUAACUCUCUCAAAGGAACUCGGCAAAAUAACUCCGUAACUUCGGGAGAAGGAGUGCCUUAUUCGUAAGGUUGCAAUAACAAGAUCCAAGCAACUGUUUAUCAAAAACACAGGUCUCCGCUAAGUCGUAAGACGAUGUAUGGGGGCUGACGCCUGCCCAGUGCCAGAAGGUUAAAGAAGUUGGUUAGCAAUUGCGAAGCUGAUAACUGAAGCCCUGGUGAACGGCGGCCGUAACAAUAACGGUCCUAAGGUAGCGAAAUUCCUUGUCGGGUAAGUUCCGACCCGCACGAAAGGCGUAAUGAUUUGGAUACUGUCUCGGAGAGGGGCUCGGUGAAAUAGACUUGUCUGUGAAGAUGCGGACUACCUGCACCAGGACAGAAAGACCCUAUGAAGCUUUACUGUAACUUGAAAUUGAAAUUGGACUUUAUUCGCGCAGCAUAGGUGGGAGGCGUUGAUUAUAAUCUUGCGGGAUUAUUGGAGCCAUCAGUGAGAUACCACUCUUGUAAUGUUAGAUUUCUAACUUUGAAUCAUUAUCUGGUCAAAGAACAGUUUCAGGCGGGCAGUUUGACUGGGGCGGUCGCCUCCUAAACGGUAACGGAGGCGUACAAAGGUUUCCUCUGAACGGUUAGAAAUCGUAUCUAGAGUGUAAAGGCAUAAGGAAGCUUGACUGUGAGACCUACAAGUCGAGCAGGGACGAAAGUCGGUCUUAGUGAUCUGACGGUACUGAGUGGAAAGGCCGUCACUCAACGGAUAAAAGUUACUCUAGGAUAACAGGCUGAUCUCCCCCAAGAGUUCACAUCGACGGGGAGGUUUGGCACCUCGAUGUCGGCUCAUCGCAUCCUGGGGCGGUAGUACGUCCCAAGGGUUGGGCUGUUCGCCCAUGAAAGCGGUACGCGAGCUGGGUUCAGAACGUCGUGAGACAGUUCGGUCCAUAUCCGGUGUAGGCGUUAGAAUAUUGAGAGGAGCCUUCUUUAGUACGAGAGGACCGAGAAGGACAUACCUCUGGUGUACCAGUUAUCGUGCCAACGGUAAACGCUGGGUAGCUAUGUAUGGAGUGGAUAACCGCUGAAAGCAUCUAAGUGGGAAGCCCACCUCAAGAUAAG